rnacentral:rRNA from 1 species
CCUACGGGAGGCAGCAGUGGGGAAUAUUGCACAAUGGGGGAAACCCUGAUGCAGCGACGCCGCGUGAGUGAAGAAGUAAUUCGUUAUGUAAAGCUCUAUCAGCAGGGAAGAAAAUGACGGUACCUGAGUAAGAAGCCCCGGCAAACUACGUGACAGCAGCCGCGGACAUACGUAGGGGGCAAGCGUUAUUCGGAUUUAUUGGGUGUAAAGGGAGCGUAGACGGGAGUGCAAGGCUGGAGUGAAAGGCGGGGGGUCAACCCCCGGACUGCUCUGGAAACUGUACGGCUGGAGUGCAGGAGAGGUAAGUGGAAUGCCUAGUGUAGCGGUGAAAUGCAUAGAUAUUAGGAGGAACACCAGUGGCGAAGGCAGCUUACUGGACUGUAACUGACGUUGAGGCUCGAAAGCGUGGGGAGCAAACAGGAUUAGAUACCCCUGUAGUC